UGCCAGCAGCCGCGGUAAUACGAAGGGUGCAAGCGUUAAUCGGAAUUACUGGGCGUAAAGCGUGCGUAGGCGGUUUUUUAAGUCUGCUGUGAAAUCCCCGGGCUCAACCUGGGAAUGGCAGUGGAUACUGGAAAGCUAGAGUGUGAUAGAGGAUGGUGGAAUUCCCGGUGUAGCGGUGAAAUGCGUAGAGAUCGGGAGGAACAUCAGUGGCGAAGGCGGCCAUCUGGAUCAACACUGACGCUGAGGCACGAAAGCGUGGGGAGCAAACAGGAUUAGAUACCCUGGUAGUCCACGCCCUAAACGGUGCGAACUGGAUGUUGGUCUCAACUCGGAGAUACAGUGUCGAAGCUAACGCGUUAAGUUCGCCGCCUGGGGAGUACGGUCGCAAGACUAAACUCAAAGGAAUGAC
rnacentral:rRNA from 1 species